UACGUAGGGGGCGAGCGUUGUCCGAAGUUACUGGGCGUAAAGGGCGCGUAGGCGGUCAGCACAAGUCAGUUGUGAAAUCUCCGGGCUUAACUCGGAAAGGUCAACUGAUACUGUGCGACUAGAGUGCGGAAGGGGCAACUGGAAUUCUCGGUGUAGCGGUGAAAUGCGUAGAUAUCGAGAGGAACACCUGCGGCGAAGGCGGGUUGCUGGGCCGACACUGACGCUGAUGCGCGAAAGCCAGGGGAGCGAACGGG
rnacentral:rRNA from 1 species